UACGUAGGUGGCAAGCGUUUGUCCGGAAUUAUUGGGCGUAAAGCGCGCGCAGGUGGUUCCUUAAGUCUGAUGUGAAAGCCCACGGCUCAACCGUGGAGGGUCAUUGGAAACUGGGGAACUUGAGUGCAGAAGAGGAAAGUGGAAUUCCAAGUGUAGCGGUGAAAUGCGUAGAGAUUUGGAGGAACACCAGUGGCGAAGGCGACUUUCUGGUCUGUAACUGACACUGAGGCGCGAAAGCGUGGGGAGCAAACAGGGA
rnacentral:rRNA from 1 species